rnacentral:rRNA from 1 species
CCUACGGGCGGCUGCAGUGGGGAAUAUUGCACAAUGGGCGAAAGCCUGAUGCAGCGACGCCGCGUGAGUGAAGAAGUAUUUCGGUAUGUAAAGCUCUAUCAGCAGGGAAGAAAAUGACGGUACCUGACUAAGAAGCCCCGGCUAACUACGUGCCAGCAGCCGCGGUAAUACGUAGGGGGCAAGCGUUAUCCGGAUUUACUGGGUGUAAAGGGAGCGUAGACGGCGAAGCAAGUCUGAAGUGAAAACCCAGGGCUCAACCCUGGGACUGCUUUGGAAACUGUUUUGCUAGAGUGUCGGAGAGGUAAGUGGAAUUCCUAGUGUAGCGGUGAAAUGCGUAGAUAUUAGGAGGAACACCAGUGGCGAAGGCGGCUUACUGGACGAUAACUGACGUUGAGGCUCGAAAGCGUGGGGAGCAAACAGGAUUAGAUACCCUGGUAGUC